rnacentral:snRNA from 1 species
GAUUUAGAAGCCAAUGACUUGAGUCAACAUUUGACACUUGAUUGAUCUCAAUAACUGAUUUAGCUGAUCUGGCUGGUUAGAUGUGUCCCCUUCCUCCCUCUCCCACACCAUGUGUGUCCUUCCAAAAACUCCAGUCCGUAGAAGAGGAUGACCAUCCAGAUAGAAGGAGGAUAGUCAUCUUUGGUUUCA